GACGAACGCUGGCGGCGUGCCUAACACAUGCAAGUUGAGCGAAUGAAGUUCCUUCGGGAAUGGAUUUAGCGGCGGACGGGUGAGUAACACGUGGGCAACCUGCCUCGUAGAGGGGAAUAGCCUUCCGAAAGGGAGAUUAAUACCGCAUAAGAUUGUAGUACCGCAUGGUACAGCAAUUAAAGGAGCAAUCCGCUAUGAGAUGGGCCCGCGGCGCAUUAGCUAGUUGGUGAGGUAAUGGCUCACCAAGGCGACGAUGCGUAGCCGACCUGAGGGGGUGAUCGGCCACGUUGGGACUGAGACACGGCCCAGACUCCUACGGGAGGCAGCAGUGGGGAAUAUUGCACAAUGGGGGAAACCCUGAUGCAGCAACGCCGCGUGAGUGAUGACGGCCUUCGGGUUGUAAAGCUCUGUCUUCAGGGACGAUAAUGACGGUACCUGAGGAGGAAGCCACGGCUAACUACGUGCCAGCCGCCGCCGUAAAAC
rnacentral:rRNA from 1 species